CGGAUGGACUUUACCAAACAGGCUUUAGAUGAAGUGCUUGCAUAUUGUUUUAAAUUUUUUUCAAGCUCACUUUUUGAGGAUUGAUUUGGAGUUAAAGAUAAAAUUUUGCUAGAAAUUUGGGGAAGUAAAAUUCAGAAUUUACUUUCCAAAAUGAGUCCUAGAAUGUCAUCUACGUCGACUUACAAAGAAUUCAUGAUUUUUGCCAUUGGGCUGUUAAGAUCCAUAAUUUGGCAAGACUCUUCAUAUUUAUUGGUUUACAUUUAGAAAACUUCAUAAAAAUCAUGUAGAGACCCUAAGUUGACUUUAUCCUAGACUGAUGCAUUGGUUACAUUCUUCGUGCUUCUCUGCCGGCUUGUUGAUCAUUAUGAUUGAUUGGCAGUUGCUGAUAUUUU
rnacentral:lncRNA from 1 species